rfam:Rhizopogon vinicolor AM-OR11-026 unplaced genomic scaffold K503scaffold_4, whole genome shotgun sequence.
GGUGAGAUGGCCGAGCGGUCUAAGGCGCCAGACUAAGGAUCAGCUCAUUAGAUGAGCAUGUUAUCUGGUCCUCCGGGGCGUGGGUUCGAAUCCCACUCUCAUCA